rnacentral:lncRNA from 1 species
GAGUACCAUAUCAUCCAAACAGAUACUUCGAUUUCUAGAUUCGGAAUGAGGAUUUGAUCUUCCAUAUGGAUGCUAUAUAGAGAUCUAACUUUGAGAAGUGGUUUGGAGCUAUUAAAUCUAAAAUAAAGUCCAUGAAGAUUGACGAUGUAUGGAUAUUCGUUGAUUCACCUGAAAGGAUAAGACCCACAGGGUGUAAGUGGAUUUUAAAAUGGAUAAGAGAUGC